AUUGAACGCUGGCGGCAUGCUUUACACACGCAAGUCGAACGGUAACAGGCCUUCGGGUGCUGACGAGUGGCGAACGGGUGAGUAAUGCAUCGGAACGUGCCCAAUCGUGGGGGAUAACGUAGCGAAAGUUACGCUAAUACCGCAUAAGCCCUGAGGGGGAAAGCAGGGGAUCGCAAGACCUUGCGCGAAUGGAGCGGCCGAUGUCAGAUUAGCUAGUUGGUGGGGUAAAGGCCUACCAAGGCGACGAUCUGUAGCGGGUCUGAGAGGAUGAUCCGCCACACUGGGACUGAGACACGGCCCAGACUCCUACGGGAGGCAGCAGUGGGGAAUUUUGGACAAUGGGCGCAAGCCUGAUCCAGCCAUGCCGCGUGCGGGACGAAGGCC
rnacentral:rRNA from 1 species